rnacentral:rRNA from 1 species
CGGAGGAUCCAAGCGUUAUCCGGAAUCAUUGGGUUUAAAGGGUCCGUAGGCGGGUUUAUAAGUCAGUGGUGAAAGCCCAUCGCUCAACGAUGGAACGGCCAUUGAUACUGUAGAUCUUGAAUUAUUAGGAAGUAACUAGAAUAUGUAGUGUAGCGGUGAAAUGCUUAGAGAUUACAUGGAAUACCAAUUGCGAAGGCAGGUUACUACUAAUGGAUUGACGCUGAUGGACGAAAGCGUGGGUAGCGAACAGGAUUAGAUACCCUGGUAGCCCACGCCGUAAACGAUGGAUACUAGCUGUUCGGAGCAAUCUGAGUGGCUAAGCGAAAGUGAUAAGUAUCCCACCUGGGGAGUACGUUCGCAAGAAUG